GUGGGGAAUAUUGGACAAUGGGCGAAAGCCUGAUCCAGCCAUGCCGCGUGAGUGAUGAAGGCCUUAGGGUUGUAAAGCUCUUUUGUCCGGGAAGAUAAUGACUGUACCGGAAGAAUAAGCCCCGGCUAACUUCGUGCCAGCAGCCGCGGUAAUACGAAGGGGGCUAGCGUUGCUCGGAAUCACUGGGCGUAAAGGGCGCGUAGGCGGACUUUUAAGUCGGAGGUGAAAGCCCAGGGCUCAACCCUGGAAUUGCCUUCGAUACUGGGAGUCUUGAGUUCGGAAGCGGUUGGUGGAACUGCGAGUGUAGAGGUGAAAUUCGUAGAUAUUCGCAAGAACACCGGUGGCGAAGGCGGCCAACUGGUCCGAAACUGACGCUGAGGCGCGAAAGCGUGGGGAGCAAACAGGAUUAGAAACCCGUGUAGUCC
rnacentral:rRNA from 1 species